rnacentral:rRNA from 1 species
ACGCUGGCGGCACGCCUAACACAUGCAAGUCGAACGAAGUAGCAAUACUUAGUGGCAGACGGGUGAGUAACAUGUAGGUAUCUGCCCUUUGGCCUGGAAUAACACGAGGAAACUUGUGCUAAUACCGGAUAAGUCUUUACGGAGAAAGCUUUAUGCACCAUUGGAUGAGCCUGCACUUGAUUAGUUUGUUGGUGGGGUAAUGGCCUACCAAGACUGUGAUCAAUAGCUGAUUUGAGAGGAUGAUCAGCCACAUUGGGACUGAGACACGGCCCAAACUCCUACGGGAGGCAGCAGUGGGGAAUCUUGCACAAUGGAGGAAACUCUGAUGCAGCGAUGCCGCGUGAGUGAAGAAGGCCUUUGGGUUGUAAAGCUCUUUCGUCGGGGAAGAAAAUGACUGUACCCGAAUAAGAAGGUCCGGCUAACUUCGUGCCAGCAGCCGCGGUAAUACGAAGGGACCUAGCGUAGUUCGGAAUUACUGGGCUUAAAGAGUUCGUAGGUGGUUGAAAAAGUUAGUGGUGAAAUCCCAGAGCUUAACUCUGGAACUGCCAUUAAAACUUUUCAGCUAGAGUAUGAUAGAGGAAAGCAGAAUUUCUAGUGUAGAGGUGAAAUUCGUAGAUAUUAGAAAGAAUACCAAUUGCGAAGGCAGCUUUCUGGAUCAUUACUGACACUGAGGAACGAAAGCAUGGGUAGCGAAGAGGAUUAGAUACCCUCGUAGUCCAUGCCGUAAACGAUGUGUGUUAGACGUUGGAAAUUUAUUUUCAGUGUCGCAGGGAAACCGAUAAACACACCGCCUGGGGAGUACGACCGCAAGGUUAAAACUCAAAUGAAUUGACGGGGACCCGCACAAGUAGUGGAGCAUGUGGUUUAAUUCGAAGAUACGCGCAGAACCUUACCAACACUUGACAUGUUCGUCGCGACUCUAAGAGAUUAGAGUUUUCGGUUCGGCCGGACGAAACACAGGUGCUGCAUGGCUGUCGUCAGCUCGUGUCGUGAGAUGUUGGGUUAAGUCCCGCAACGAGCGCAACCCUCACUUUUAGUUGCCAUCAUUAAGUUGGGCACUCUGAAAGAACUGCCAGUGAUAAGCUGGAGGAAGGUGGGGAUGACGUCAAGUCCUCAUGGCCCUUACGUGUUGGGCUACACACGUGCUACAAUGGUAUCUACAACAGGAAGCAAGACUGCGAAGUUAAGCAAAUCCCUAAAAGAUACCUCAGUUCGGAUUGCACUCUGCAACUCGAGUGCAUGAAGCUGGAAUUACUAGUAAUCGUGGAUCAGCGUGCCACGGUGAAUGCGUUCCCGGGUCUUGUACUCACCGCCCG